rnacentral:lncRNA from 1 species
GUCUUAAACAUGAUUCAAGAUGAGAAAUUCUGGAGAAAUGUUCAAAACAGCAUCUAUUAUGUAAAAUGUGGUAUACCUUUUUAAACUUUUUUUUUUUUUUUGGUCUUUUGGAGCAGAUGUUUCUCUGCCCUAAGCUAGGAGUCCCCUUCCUGUCUCCUUCCUUUGCUGAGCCUGAACACAAGCACGCCUCCAGGCGCUGUUAUUAGGAACACAUGUUCUGCACUGGGAACCACACUGCUGAGACCCCCACCUCCUGCAGGGAUUGAUGAUAGAUUUACAGCUGAAUUUACUGCAGCAUGUUCGGAGAGAACCUCAGAUAAUUGCAUUAUCUCUUCUCAGAGUGAAAUGUCACCAGGAAAAGACAAAAGGACAAAAGGACAAGAGCAAAUGAAAAGCAGCACAAGGUCCAAGGUAUACAAGGAACAAGUCACAAGCAAGCAUGUUCGGCAACACCAAAAAAAUCUAACCGGGGCAGGCAUCAGGUGAAUAUCAUAACCAGUGACAGUCAGGACACACAAGGAUAACAAGGUUCAUUUUGCACGUCAGCUGCCAUCUGGUCUCGCAGUAAUUACUCAGUGGCUGCAGUGGACAGCAGUGGAACCCCGGCACUCAGAUCUUCUGGCUCUGAGAUUCUAGGCUGCUCCCUGAAGCUGCAAGCAGGGUACAGUGAUACCCACUCAAUAAACACUUAUUAGGGUGCUUGUAGAUGCAUGCAUGCUGAGGGCUGACCUCAGCGCCCUGCAGUGAGCAAAUCUUGUCAUGAAAGGCAGCUAAGUCAACAUGGGUAAAUAAAUAUGCAAACACCUUUGCUUGAACUUUUUCUUAAACUUACCUAAAUUAUAACUUUAUAAAUAAAAAGACAUUUUAAGCAUCUCUUGAAUAAAAGUAC